GACGAACGCUGGCGGCGUGCUUAACACAUGCAAGUCGAACGGAAAGGCCCUGCUUUUGUGGGGUGCUCGAGUGGCGAACGGGUGAGUAACACGUGAGUAACCUGCCCUUGACUUUGGGAUAACUUCAGGAAACUGGGGCUAAUACCGGAUAGGAGCUCCUGCUGCAUGGUGGGGGUUGGAAAGUUUCGGCGGUUGGGGAUGGACUCGCGGCUUAUCAGCUUGUUGGUGGGGUAGGGGCUUACCAAGGCUUUGACGGGUAGCCGGCCUGAGAGGGUGACCGGCCACAUUGGGACUGAGAUACGGCCCAGACUCCUACGGGAGGCAGCAGUGGGGAAUAUUGCGCAAUGGGCGGAAGCCUGAUGCAGCAACGCCGCGUGCGUGAUGACGGCCUUCGGGGUGUAAACCGCUUUCGCCUGUGACGAAGCGUGAGUGACGGUAAUGGGUAAAGAAGCACCGGCUAACUACGUG
rnacentral:rRNA from 1 species